GACGAACGCUGGCGGCGUGCUUAACACAUGCAAGUCGAACGGAAAGGCCCUGCUUUUGUGUGGUGCUCGAGUGGCGAACGGGUGAGUAACACGUGAGUAACCUGCCCUUGACUUUGGGAUAACUUCAGGAAACUGGGGCUAAUACCGGAUAGGAGCUCCUGCUGCAUGGUGGGGGUUGGAAAGUUUCGGCGGUUGGGGAUGGACUCGCGGCUUAUCAGCUUGUUGGUGGGGUAGUGGCUUACCAAGGCUUUGACGGGUAGCCGGCCUGAGAGGGUGACCGGACACAUUGGGACUGAGAUACGGCCCAGACUCCUACGGGAGGCAGCAGUGGGGAAUAUUGCACAAUGGGCGGAAGCCUGAUGCAGCAACGCCGCGUGCGGGAUGACGGCCUUCGGGUUGUAAACCGCUUUCGCCUGUGACGAAGCGUGAGUGACGGUAAUGGGUAAAGAAGCACCGGCUAACUACGUG
rnacentral:rRNA from 1 species